rnacentral:lncRNA from 1 species
UCCGCUGUUUUUUUCCCUGAAUGCCGAAAUUUUCCGUCUCUGUUUCAAAUUAUGUCUUGUUGAUACCUUAAGAGCUCCUUUAUAUACUAAUCCAUCGCAUCCUGCAACAUAAAAUUCAGACUCUGUAAAGUCCAUUACAAAUCCCCAAAUCGGGCACGGAAAUGAUAUGGAACUAAGGGGUGUUCGUAGACAAGAAUAACAACUAUAGUUCCAUCAUCACUACCCGAAACCAGAAGCGAUUUGUCGUCAUUAAUUUCAAGGCAGGAUACCGGAACGCAAUCUUCAUGUGUGAACGUCUUUGCGCCGAGUUUCCUUCGGAGCUACCUUCUUCAUCCCCUCGCAUUUCAAUCUACAAGAUCGAUUAUGUAUGAAAAUUCACCUGCUCGGAGAGGAGAGUUCGGUGAUGUAUUUUUAGGUGGAGUAGAUCUCUUGCAUCCUCUCUCUCCUC